rnacentral:rRNA from 1 species
AGGAAUAUUGGUCAAUGGGCGUUAGCCUGAACCAGCCAAGUAGCGUGAAGGAUGAAGGCUCUAUGGGUCGUAAACUUCUUUUAUAUAAGAAUAAAGUGCAGUAUGUAUACUGUUUUGUAUGUAUUAUAUGAAUAAGGAUCGGCUAACUCCGUGCCAGCAGCCGCGGUAAUACGGAGGAUCCGAGCGUUAUCCGGAUUUAUUGGGUUUAAAGGGAGCGUAGGUGGACUGGUAAGUCAGUUGUGAAAGUUUGCGGCUCAACCGUAAAAUUGCAGUUGAUACUGUCAGUCUUGAGUACAGUAGAGGUGGGCGGAAUUCGUGGUGUAGCGGUGAAAUGCUUAGAUAUCACGAAGAACUCCGAUUGCGAAGGCAGCUCACUGGACUGCAACUGACACUGAUGCUCGAAAGUGUGGGUAUCAAACAGGAUUAGAUACCCUGGUAGUCCACACAGUAAACGAUGAAUACUCGCUGUUUGCGAUAUACAGUAAGCGGCCAAGCGAAAGCAUUAAGUAUUCCACCUGGGGAGUACGCCGGCAACGGUGAAACUCAAAGGAAUUGACGGGGGCCCGCACAAGCGGAGGAACAUGUGGUUUAAUUCGAUGAUACGCGAGGAACCUUACCCGGGCUUAAAUUGCAGUGGAAUGAUGUGGAAACAUGUCAGUGAGCAAUCACCGCUGUGAAGGUGCUGCAUGGUUGUCGUCAGCUCGUGCCGUGAGGUGUCGGCUUAAGUGCCAUAACGAGCGCAACCCUUAUCUUUAGUUACUAACAGGUUAUGCUGAGGACUCUAGAGAGACUGCCGUCGUAAGAUGUGAGGAAGGUGGGGAUGACGUCAAAUCAGCACGGCCCUUACGUCCGGGGCUACACACGUGUUACAAUGGGGGGUACAGAAGGCAGCUAGCGGGUGACCGUAUGCUAAUCCCAAAAUCCUCUCUCAGUUCGGAUCGAAGUCUGCAACCCGACUUCGUGAAGCUGGAUUCGCUAGUAAUCGCGCAUCAGCCACGGCGCGGUGAAUACGUUCCCG